GAUCAGCACUGCCAGGGCAUUGUUGGAUGCGUCGGAACUCCUGACAGAAUAGCUUGCGAAGGUUUAUUCCCUUUCC
ncrna:unclassified sequences HTH-XRE RNA